CAUCUGUUGCAUCUAUUAAUGUCAAAUCUAGCCUUUAUUUAACAACAUAAGCAAACUCUAUGUUACAAUGAUUGCACAGCCAUUAAGGAUCAAAUCAGUUUCUGAAAAAUGUUCUGUUUUUUCUCCCUCUGCUUGCUUCUUACUGUCUUUGAGGCUCGGGACCAGCACUCCUGUUGUUGGACAGAAAGACAUCAACUUGAGAUAUGACUGCACUAUGCUGUUGCUGGUGACUCCAGUUAAUUCUACAAGACAUGCUGUGACACCAGGAGAGAUGAGUCCUCCGUCACAGAUGGUGUGGUCAGUGAAGAUGGUCGCCUGCAGGUUCAGGCUCAUUGCAUCUCCAACCCACAUCCACUGCCACUGUACUUAAGGGAAGUUAAAGACUUCUGCACUUACAUUUGGAUCACCUCGAUCCAUGAUAGUCAUUCAGGCAGUAAUGCCUGGACUGGAAACAAGCCAUCCUUAAAAUAUUACAACAUUCCAGCUCCUGUGUUG
ensembl:lncRNA